rnacentral:rRNA from 1 species
AGUGGCGAACGGGUGAGUAAUAUAUCGGAACGUACCCUGGAGUGGGGGAUAACGUAGCGAAAGUUACGCUAAUACCGCAUACGCCCUUUGGGGGAAAGAUUUAUCGGCGAAAGAUUAGCCCGCGUCCGAUUAGUUAGUUGGUGAGGUAAUGGCUCACCAAGACUUCGAUCGGUAGCUGGUCUGAGAGGAUGACCAGCCGCACUGGGACUGAGACACGGCCCAGACUCCUACGGGAGGCAGCAGUGGGGAAUAUUGGACAAUGGGCGCAAGCCUGAUCCAGCCAUGCCGCGUGAGUGAUGAAGGCCUUAGGGUUGUAAAGCUCUUUCGACGGGGACGAUGAUGACGGUACCCGUAGAAGAAGCCCCGGCUAACUUCGUGCCAGCAGCCGCGGUAAUACGAAGGGGGCUAGCGUUGUUCGGAAUUACUGGGCGUAAAGCGCACGCAGGCGGUUCGAUUAGUCAGAAGUGAAAUCCCCGGGCUCAACCUGGGAACUGCUUUUGAUACUGUCGAGCUUGGAUCACGGAGAGGGUAGUGGAAUUCCGAGUGUAGAGGUGAAAUUCGUAGAUAUUCGGAAGAACACCAGUGGCGAAAGCGACUACCUGGCCGUCGAUUGACGCUCAUGUGCGAAAGCGUGGGGAGCAAACAGGAUUAGAUACCCUGGUAGUCCACGCCGUAACGAUGGGUGCUAGUUGUUGGGGUACAUGUACCUCAGUGACGCAGCUAACGCGUUAAGCACCCCGNUGGGGAGUACGGCNCAGGUAA